rnacentral:rRNA from 1 species
CCUACGGGGGGCAGCAGUGAGGAAUAUUGGUCAAUGGGCGCGAGCCUGAACCAGCCAAGUAGCGUGAAGGAUGACUGCCCUACGGGUUGUAAACUUCUUUUAUAAAGGAAUAAAGUGAGACACGUGUGCCUUUUUGUAUGUACUUUAUGAAUAAGGAUCGGCUAACUCCGUGCCAGCAGCCGCGGUAAUACGGAGGAUCCGAGCGUUAUCCGGAUUUAUUGGGUUUAAAGGGAGCGUAGAUGGGUUGUUAAGUCAGUUGUGAAAGUUUGCGGCUCAACCGUAAAAUUGCAAUUGAUACUGGCAGUCGUGAGUACAGUUGAGGUAGGCGGAAUUCGUGGUGUAGCGGUGAAAUGCUUAGAUAUCGCGCAGAACCCCGAUUGCGAAGGCAGCGUACCGGCUCCACACUGACGCUGAGGCACGAAAGCGUGGGUAUCGAACAGGAUUAGAUACCCUUGUAGUC